rnacentral:sRNA from 1 species
CCUUUAGCUCCAGUGAGUGAAGCUCUCUGUUUAUCUACAGGGAUGCAGCAGGGCAUGCUUCUCACAUAAACUGCUAGGCCAGCAUGCCUCAGCCUUAUCUGGGAGGAUUUCCCCUAGGAGAUACAGGGGUAGUUCUGUCUUCAUGGCCCAUGAAGUUCUUGGCUUGU